UAAUACAGAGGGUGCGAGCGUUGAUCGGAAUUACUGGGCGUAAAGGGCGCGUAGGCGGUUACAUGAGUGUGCUGUGAAAGCCCCGGGCUUAACCUGGGAAGUGCAGUGCAAACGAUGUAACUGGAGUAGAUGAGAGGGUGGUGGAAUUUCCGGUGUAGCGGUGAAAUGCGUAGAGAUCGGAAGGAACGUCAAUGGCGAAGGCAGCCACCUGGCAUCAUACUGACGCUGAGGCGCGAAAGCGUGGGGAGCGAACAGGAUUAGAUACCCUGGUAGUCCACGCUGUAAACGAUGAGAACUAAAUGUUGGUGGGGGAACCCAUCGGUAUUGAAGCUAACGCGAUAAGUUCUCCGCCUGGGAAGUACGGCCGCAAGGUUG
rnacentral:rRNA from 1 species